rnacentral:lncRNA from 10 species
AUCUGUGAUGCCUGGAAAAGAUACGUCCCAGUGGGAGGUGUCCCCUGAAGAGAAGAUACAACAAUAGGAUAAGACUUACAAGGGAAUUGUUGGGGCAAAGCACCUUCAAAGGAUAAAGGGAAGCUAGAAGUGUGGAGAGAGAGCUUUGAGAACCCUGGCUGGGUGCGGUAGCUCAUGCCUGUAAUCCCAGCAUUUUGGGAGGCUGAGACUGGC